CAAUAGCGUAUAUUUAAGUUGUUGCAGUUAAAAAGCUCGUAGUUGGAUUUCGGAUGGGACUUGCCGGUCCGUCGUUUCGAUGUGCACUGGCCAGUCCUAUCUUGUUGUCGGGGACUAGCUCCUGGGCUUCACUGUCCGGGACUAGGAGCUGACGAGGUUACUUUGAGUAAAUUAGAGUGUUCAAAGCAAGCCUACGCUCUGAAUACAUUAGCAUGGAAUAACACGAUAGGACUCUGGCUUAUCUUGUUGGUCUGUGAGACCAGAGUAAUGAUUAAGAGGGACAGUCGGGGGCAUUCGUAUUUCAUUGUCAGAGGUGAAAUUCUUGGAUCUGCUAAAGACGGACAACUGCGAAAGCGUUUGCCCAGGAUGUUUUCAUUG
rnacentral:rRNA from 1 species